rfam:Paenibacillus alvei DSM 29 PAV_1c, whole genome shotgun sequence.
UUUGGAUAAUGGCAAACCCUAGCGAAAGCAGGGGACGCAAAGCCACGGGUCUAAUGCAUUUACACAAUGCGAUGACAGCCGGGUUGCCCUA